rnacentral:lncRNA from 1 species
CAACUGGUCCUUUUGUAUAAUUCUCGAUUAAAGUUAUUCCCUGGGAAGCUGAGAUCCAAAUGGUCAGGACCGUUUGUUGUUCACAAAGUUUUCCCUCAUGGAGCGAUUGAAUUAAAGAAUUAAGCGAACGGGGAUACCUUCAAAGUCAAUGGUCAGAGGUUAAAGUCGUAUUACCAAGGGCAAGAGAGUGGCCAAAUACAUGUUGUUCGUCUCACAGGGUGAGAUGAACAACCGUCGAG